GACGAACGCUGACAGAAUGCUUAACACAUGCAAGUCAACUGUGGCGGACGGGUGAGUAACGCGUAAAGAACUUGCCUCACGGAUAGGGCCAACAUUUGGAAACGAAUGCUAAUACCUGAUACUGUGAGAGAGCUUUGCGUCCCCUUAGCUAGUUGGAGAGGUAAUGGCUCACCAAGGCGAUGAUGGGUAGCCGGCCUGAGAGGGUGAUCGGCCACAAGGGGCCUGAGACACGGCCCUUACUCCUACGGGGGGAGGCAGGGGGGAAUAUUGAACAAUGGGCCAAAGUCUGUUCCAACAAUUCUGUGUGCACGAUGGGGUUUUCGGAGUAUAAAGUGCUUUGAGUUGGGAAGCGGUACCAACAGAAGAAGUGACGGCUAAAUACGUGCCAGCCGCCGCGGUAAUUC
rnacentral:rRNA from 1 species